UUAAGUUCAGCGGGUAUCCCUACCUGAUCCGAGGUCAAAGUGAUGAGGAGCCUUACUGGACGGAGGCAGACUGGAGCCGUGACGCAAUGUGCUGCGCACGAAGCCAACUUGCCGGCUGCCAAUGAAUUUGAGGCGAGUCCACGCGCGGAGGCGGAACAAACGCCCAACACCAAGCAGAGCUUGAAGGGUCAAAUGACGCU
rnacentral:misc_RNA from 1 species